rnacentral:rRNA from 1 species
UACGUAGGGUGCGAGCGUUGUCCGGAAUUACUGGGCGUAAAGAGCUCGUAGGUGGUUUGUCGCGUUGUCCGUGAAAACUCACAACUCAAUUGUGGGCGUGCGGGCGAUACGGGCAGACUGGAGUACUGCAGGGGAGACUGGAAUUCCUGGUGUAGCGGUGGAAUGCGCAGAUAUCAGGAGGAACACCGGUGGCGAAGGCGGAUCUCUGGGCCUGUCCUGACGCUGAGGCGCGAAAGCGUGGGGAGCAAACAGG